CACUAGAAGAAAAUGCUGACGCUGUUCACCAGCAGCUGGAGGAGGUAGAAACUUUAUGCACUCAGCUUCAAACUUAUAACAGGAAGCUAAAGGCUAAGCUAGCUGACCUGGAGGGGAGAAGCAGACGCUGCAACAUUCUGCCCAUCCCC